UACGAGGGGAGCAAGCGUUGUUCGGAUUUACUGGGCGUAAAGGGCGCGUAGGCGGCGUGACAAGUCACUUGUGAAAUCUCCGGGCUUAACCCGGAACGGUCAAGUGAAACUGUCGUGCUAGAGUACAGAAGGGGCAACUGGAAUUCUCGGUGUAGCGGUGAAAUGCGUAGAUAUCGAGAGGAACACCUGCGGCGAAGGCGGGUUGCUGGGCCGACACCGACGCUGAGGCGCGAAAGCUAGGGGAGCGAACGGG
rnacentral:rRNA from 1 species